AGCGAACGCUGGUGGCAGGCCUAACACAUUCAAGUCGAACGAAGUCUUCGGACUUAGUGGCGGACGGGUGAGUAACACGUGGGAACGUGCCUUUAGGUUCGGAAUAACUCAGGGAAACUUGUGCUAAUACCGAAUGUGCCCUUCGGGGGAAAGAUUUAUCGCCUUUAGAGCGGCCCGCGUCUGAUUAGCUAGUUGGUGAGGUAAAGGCUCACCAAGGCGACGAUCAGUAGCUGGUCUGAGAGGAUGAUCAGCCACAUUGGGACUGAGACACGGCCCAAACUCCUACGGGAGGCAGCAGUGGGGAAUCUUGCGCAAUGGGCGAAAGCCUGACGCAGCCAUGCCGCGUGAAUGAUGAAGGUCUUAGGAUUGUAAAAUUCUUUCACCGGGGACGAUAAUGACGGUACCCGGAGAAGAAGCCCCGGCUAACUUCGUGCCAGCCGCCGCGGUAA
rnacentral:rRNA from 1 species